rnacentral:rRNA from 1 species
UACGGAGGGGGCUAGCGUUGUUCGGAAUUACUGGGCGUAAAGCGCACGUAGGCGGCUUUGUAAGUUAGAGGUGAAAGCCCGGAGCUCAACUCCGGAAUUGCCUUUAAGACUGCAUCGCUCGAAUCAUGGAGAGGUGAGUGGAAUUCCAAGUGUAGAGGUGAAAUUCGUAGAUAUUCGGAAGAACACCAGUGGCGAAGGCGACUCACUGGACAUGUAUUGACGCUGAGGUGCGAAAGCGUGGGGAGCAAACAGGG